GCUAGCGGCUAUACCAGCUUGUCAAUGCCUGAUUUCAUCUGACCUCAGAAGUAAAGCAAGGCCCUGCCUGGUUAGUACUUGGAUAGUAGACCACAGACAAUAUAGUGUGCCACAAAUA
rnacentral:rRNA from 1 species